AGAGUUGUCAAGCGGGCCGCUAGC
rnacentral:siRNA from 1 species